CCUACGGGAGGCAGCAGUGGGGAAUAUUGGACAAUGGGCGCAAGCCUGAUCCAGCAAUGCCGCGUGAGUGAUGAAGGCCUUAGGGUCGUAAAGCUCUUUUACCAGGGAUGAUAAUGACAGUACCUGGAGAAUAAGCUCCGGCUAACUCCGUGCCAGCAGCCGCGGUAAUACGGAGGGAGCUAGCGUUGUUCGGAAUUACUGGGCGUAAAGCGUACGUAGGCGGUUAUUCAAGUCAGAGGUGAAAGCCCGGGGCUCAACCCCGGAACGGCCUUUGAAACUAGGUAGCUAGAAUCUUGGAGAGGUCAGUGGAAUUCCGAGUGUAGAGGUGAAAUUCGUAGAUAUUCGGAAGAACACCAGUGGCGAAGGCGACUGACUGGACAAGUAUUGACGCUGAGGUACGAAAGCGUGGGGAGCAAACAGGAUUAGAUACCCUGGUAGUCCACGCCGUAAACGAUGAUAACUAGCUGUUCGGGCACUUGGUGCUUGAGUGGCGCAGCUACGCAUUAAGUUAUUCCGUCCGUCGGGGUAGGUACGGUCGGCGAAGAAGUUAAAACUUAAAAGGUAAAGUUAGUACGGCGUGAGACGUGCCGAACGGACGACGACGAGGGAGGUAGG
rnacentral:rRNA from 1 species